rnacentral:rRNA from 1 species
UUAUUACGAGUUUGAUCCUGGCUCCGGAAGAACGCAAGAGAUGUGCUUAACACAUGCUAAUUGAAUGGUAUUAAUAUAUCAUAGUGUAAUAGUGAGUAAUGUAUGAGAAUUUAUUUUUAGAAUAUAAUAAAAAGCUAAUAAUUUAUAAUAAACGCAAUAGUGUUUUAAAAAAAUAAUUAUUGUCUAAAAAAAAGCUCAUAUCUAAUUAGCUAGUUGGUGAAGUAAUAGUUUUACCAAGGCGAAGAUUAGUAGCUGCCUUGAGAGGGGAAACAGCCACAUAGAGAUUGAAAUACAGCUCUAACUCCUAAGGGGGGCAGCAGUGGGGAAUUUUCUGCAAUGAGCGCAAGCUUGACAGAGCGUCAUCACAUGAAGGAGGAAAGCCUAUAAAGGUUGUAAACUUCUUUUGCUUAAAAAAAUAAUACUGACGUUUAAGUUUAAAAAGUAUCGGCUAACUCCGUGCCAGCAGCCGCGGUAAUACGGGGGAUACAAGCGUUUUCCAAAAUUACUGGGCGUAAAGUGUAUGUAGGUGGAUUAAUAUGUUCUUACUUAAAGACUAUUUGAUAAAUUUAGGAAAAGAAAGAAAACUAUUAAUCUUGAGUUCGAUAAGGGUAAGAGGAAUUUUUUGAGGAGUAGUGAAAUGCGAAGAUACAAAAAAGAAGAUCAACAGCGAAAGCAUCUUACUAGGUCGAUACUGACACUGAGAUACGAAAGUUAAGGUAGCAAAUGGGAUUAGAUACCCCAGUAGUCUUAACUGUAAACAAUGGGUACUCGGUACUGGAAAUAUAAAUACAUAAAUUCAGUACCCUAGCUAACGCGUUAAGUAUCCCGCCUGAGUAGUACGCUCGCAAGGGUGAAACUCAAAGGAAUUGACGGGGGCUCGUACAAGCGGUGGAGCAUGUAAUUUAAUUCGAUGUAACGCGAUAAACCUUACCAGAACUAGACUAAAUUUAUUUUAAAUUAUUAAUAUUAAUUAAAAAAAAAUUACAGGAGGUGCAUGGCUGUCGUCAGCUCGUGUCGUGAGAUGUUGGGUUAAGUCCCGCUACGAGCGCUACCCUUAUUUAAAGUUUUUUAUAUCUUUAAAAACGGACUAUAUAAAUUUUUAGAUUAAAUUAGUAGGAAGGAGAGGAAAACGUCAAGUCUUUAUGCCCUUUAUGUUCUGGGCUACAUACGUGCUACAAUAGAUGGUACAAUAAUUUUUAAAAAUAAAUAUAAAUAUAUUAUCAAUUUAUUUUUAAUUUAUUUGUGAAAAUAGAUGUAAUAAUUAAAAACCAUCUCUAGUUCGGAACAUAAACUGCAAUUUGUUUAUGUAAAGUUGGAAUCGCUAGUAAUCGCCGAUCAGCAUCACGGCGGUGAAUAAGUCUUCGAGCCUUGUACACACCGCCCGUCACGCCACGGAAAUUGAUUAUUUUUUAAAACUUUUGGUAAAAGGAUAAAUAAUAAUAAAUAACUGGGGUGAAGUCGUAACAAGGUAGCUGUACUGGAAGGUGCUGCUGGAUAAUUU